GAUACGGCCCAGACUCCUACGGGAGGCAGCAGUGGGGAAUAUUGCACAAUGGGCGGAAGCCUGAUGCAGCAACGCCGCGUGCGGGAUGACGGCCUUCGGGUUGUAAACCGCUUUCGCCUGUGACGAAGCGUGAGUGACGGUAAUGGGUAAAGAAGCACCGGCUAACUACGUGCCAGCAGCCGCGGUGAUACGUAGGGUGCGAGCGUUGUCCGGAUUUAUUGGGCGUAAAGGGCUCGUAGGUGGUUGAUCGCGUCGGAAGUGUAAUCUUGGGGCUUAACCCUGAGCGUGCUUUCGAUACGGGUUGACUUGAGGAAGGUAGGGGAGAAUGGAAUUCCUGGUGGAGCGGUGGAAUGCGCAGAUAUCAGGAGGAACACCAGUGGCGAAGGCGGUUCUCUGGGCCUUUCCUGACGCUGAGGAGCGAAAGCGUGGGGAGCGAACAGGCUUAGAUACCCUGGUAGUCCACGCUGUAAACGGUGGGUACUAGGUGUGGGGUCCAUUCCACGGGUUCCGUGCCGUAGCUAACGCUUUAAGUACCCCGCCUGGGGAGUACGGCCGCAAGGCUAAAACUCAAAGGAAUUGACGGGGCCCCGCACAAGCGGCGGAGCAUGCGGAUUAAUUCGAUGCAACGCGUAGAACCUUACCUGGGUUUGACAUGGAUCGGGAGUGCUCAGAGAUGGGUGUGCCUCUUUUGGGGUCGGUUCACAGGUGGUGCAUGGCUGUCGUCAGCUCGUGUCGUGAGAUGUUGGGUUAAGUCCCGCAACGAGCGCAACCCUUGU
rnacentral:rRNA from 1 species